ACCGGACUGGGCCCCGGGCCAGCUCCUCCAGCCCUGGGCUCGCCGGCAGAGUCUUCGCCUUUGCUCCCUGAAGACUAAUCACUGUCCUGUCAGCUUGGCCCUCUUCCCCUGUAUUAUUGUACAGAAAUAGCCCUGGGUCCAGCUUCCCCUCCCUCCCUCCCUCUCUCCCUCCCUCUCUCUCUCCCUCCCUCUCUCCCUCCCUCUCUCCCUCCCUCCCUCCCGGCACACCCUGCCAGAGCCUCACUGCUGGGCUCUUCCAUUUGUGUUUCCUCCUCCUCCCUCUUCUCUCCCCUCGUGUGCUUGUGUGGAUGUGACUUGACCCUGCCUGCUGGAGCCAGGCACAAACUAGAGCCUAGUCCUCCUCUCCAGGGACUGGAGGCUGUGGAGGUGAGAGAGCAUGGUAGCUGGUGCAGAGCCUCUGCCAGGGGGUUAGGAGCACACAGAACUUGCUUGUAUGCUCACUGGGCCAUUGCUCUUGGCCAAAGAAACCCCUUGGCUUCUUUUUGCUCCUUCUAGGUUGCCUCGUCUACUCUCCACAGACAGGACAGAGUGGACACCGAGUUGUUCCUUGGCAGAGCAGGGCUGUCUGGAGAGU
rnacentral:lncRNA from 1 species